rnacentral:rRNA from 1 species
UACGUAGGGCGCAAGCGUUAUCCGGAAUUAUUGGGCGUAAAGAGCUCGUAGGCGGUUUGUCGCGUCUGCCGUGAAAGUCCGGGGCUCAACUCCGGAUCUGCGGUGGGUACGGGCAGACUAGAGUGAUGUAGGGGAGACUGGAAUUCCUGGUGUAGCGGUGAAAUGCGUAGAUAUCUGGAGGAACACCGGUGGCGAAAGCGGCUCUCUGGAACGGUACUGACGCUGAGACGCGAAAGCGUGGGGAGCGAACAGG